GACAGAGGAUGCAAGCGUUAUCCGGAAUGAUUGGGCGUAAAGCGUCUGUAGGUGGCUUUUUAAGUCCGCCGUCAAAUCCCAGGGCUCAACCCUGGACAGGCGGUGGAAACUACCAAGCUGGAGUACGGUAGGGGCAGAGGGAAUUCCUGGUGUAGCGGUGGAAUGCGCAGAUAUCAGGAGGAACACCAAUGGCGAAGGCAGAUCUCUGGGCCGUAACUGACGCUGAGGAGCGAAAGCAUGGGGAGCGAACAGG
rnacentral:rRNA from 1 species